CAGUGGGAAUACAUCAAAAUACUGACGUUGGAGAAAAGCCUUAUGCGUACAAGGAAUGUGGAAAAUCUUCUCUCUGUCCUGGUUUACUUUGCAUAUGUAGUAUAACUCAGACUGUAGGAAAAUGUUAUGAAUGCACUCAGUGUGGUAAAGCUCUGAGUUCUCUUCAAAGACAUGAAAAAACUCAUCUUGGAAGAGAAAUUGAUAAAUGUAAGCCAUGUACUAAAGGCUUUAACCAUCACAUGUAUUUUCAAACACACAAAAGAACCAAUAAUGAAGAGGAUACCUAUGAAUAUAAUCAAUGUGAUAAAGCCUUUAGAUCUGAUUCUUCCUUACACCAAAGACCUCAUUUGGAAGUAGCACCCUAUAAAUAUUAUCAGUAUGAAAAAGACUUUGCACAUCACAGUUGUCUUCAAGAACAUAGAACUCAUACUGGAGAGAAACCUUAUGAAUGUAAGCAGUGUGGUAAAGCCUUUGGGAGUCGCCAUUAUCUUAAAACACAUGAAAGAAUUCAUACCGGAGAGAAACCCUAUGCGUGUAAUCAAUGUGGUAAAGCCUUUACACAUUACACAAGUCUUCGCAAGCAUGAAAAAAUUCAUACUGGAGAGAAACCCUAUGAAUGUAGUCAGUGUGGUAAAGCCUUUGCAUGUCGCAGUAAUCUUCAAAUACAUGAAACCUCUCAUAAAGGAGAGAAGCCCCAUGAAUGUAAUCAGUGCGGCAAAGCCUUUGCACAUAUCAUUUACCUUCAAAGGCAUGAAAGAAGUCAUGGAGACAAACCAUAUGAAUGUAAUCAAUGUGGUAAAGGCUUUACACAAUUUGGGCUUCUUAAAAAACAUUAUAAAAAUCAUACUGGAGAGAAACCCUAUGAAUGUAGUCAGUGUGGUAAAGCCUUUGCACGUCGAAAUGAACUUCAAGUACAUGAAAGAAUUCAUACUGGAGAGAAACCCUAUGAAUGUAGUCAGUGUGGUAAAGCCUUUACAAGUCGGAGUAAUCUUCAAACACAUGAAAGAACUCACACUGGAGAGAAACCUUAUUUAUGUAAUCAGUGUGGUAAAGCCUUUGCAAGGCGCCGUCAUCUUCAAAUUCAUGAAAGAAUUCAUACUGGAGAGAAACCCUAUACGUGUAAUCAGUGUGGUAAAGCCUUUACACAUUUCACAAGUCUUCACAAUCAUAAAAAAAUUCAUACUGGAGAGAAACCCUAUGCAUGUAAUGAAUGUGGUAAAACCUUUACACAUUUCACAAGUUUUCACAAUCAUAAAAAAAUUCAUACUGGAGAGAAACCCUAUGGAUGUAAGCAAUGUGGUAAAGCCUUUUCAUUUCGCUGUAAUCUUAAAAUACAUGAAGCCUCUCAUAAAGGAGAGAAGCCCCAUGAAUGUAAUCAAUGCGGUAAAGCCUUUGCACAUAUUGUUUAUCUUCAAAGGCAUGAAAGAAGUCAUGGAGACAAACCAUAUGAAUGUAAUCAAUGUGGUAAAGGCUUUACACAUUUUGGACGUCUUAAAAAUCAUCUGAAAAAUCAUACUGGAGAGAAACCAUAUGAGUGUAAUCAAUGUGGUAAGGCCUUUGCAUGUCAAAGUAAUCUUCAAACACAUGAAAGAACUCACACUGGAGAGAAACCCUAUGUAUGUAAUCAGUGUGGUAAAACCUUUGCAAGUCGCUGUAAUCUUCAAGUACAUGAAAGAAUUCAUACUGGAGAGAAACCCUAUUCAUGUAAUCAGUGUGGUAAAGCCUUUUCACAUAUCAUUUAUCUUCGAAGGCAUGAGAAAACUCAUACAGAAAACAAACAUUAUCAAUGUAAUCAGUGUGGUAAAGACUUUGUAAGUCAAAGUAAUCUUCAGAAACAUGAAAGAAGGCAUACUGGAGAAGUAACCAAUGGAUGUAAUUGAUGCAGUAAAACUUUGUUACAUCAGUGUAAACCCUACUAAUAUAAUCAAUGUGAUCGAUUAUAUAAGCCUUUGCAUGUUACACUCUUCUUCAAAGGAAUGAAUCCCUACUGAAGAGAAACACCACAAAUCUAGUAAAUGCAGUAAAGCCAUGCAUACCAAGCACAUUUUCCCCCCAUUGAGUCAUCUUCCUGGUACUCAUGUUAGUAUAAUCAUUUCAUCAUUAAAGUAUUGUUUUGUUUUCAAAUUGUAUAUACAUUUUCAUCUAAGAAUAGAGGUAUACCAAACAAUUUGACUAAUAAAACCUAUUUGAAAAUG
rnacentral:lncRNA from 1 species